AGACCCGAAACCCGGUGAUCUAGCCAUGGGCAGGUUGAAGGUUGGGUAACACUAACUGGAGGACCGAACCGACUAAUGUUGAAAAAUUAGCGGAUGACCUGUGGCUGGGGGUGAAAGGCCAAUCAAACCGGGAGAUAGCUGGUUCUCCCCGAAAGCUAUUUAGGUAGCGCCUCGUGAAUUCAUCUCCGGGGGUAGAGCACUGUUUCGGCUAGGGGGCCAUCCCGGCUUACCAACCCGAUGCAAACUGCGAAUACCGGAGAAUGUUAUCACGGGAGACACACGGCGGGUGCUAACGUCCGUCGUGAAGAGGGAAACAACCCAGACCGCCAGCUAAGGUCCCAAAGUCAUGGUUAAGUGGGAAACGAUGUGGGAAGGCCCAGACAGCCAGGAUGUUGGCU
rnacentral:rRNA from 1 species